rnacentral:rRNA from 1 species
UAGGGAAUCUUCCGCAAUGGACGAAAGUCCGACGGAGCAACGCCGCGUGAGUGAAGAAGGAUUUCGGUUCGUAAAACUCUGUUGUUAGGGAAGAAAAAAUGUAUAGUAACUAUAUACAAAAGAGACGGUACCUAACCAGAAAGCCACGGCUAACUACGUGCCAGCAGCCGCGGUAAUACGUAGGUGGCAAGCGUUGUCCGGAAUUAUUGGGCGUAAAGCGCGCGCAGGUGGUUUAGAAAGUCUGAUGUGAAAGCCCACGGCUCAACCGUGGAGGGUCAUUGGAAACUAAUAAACUUGAGUGCAGGAGAGAAAAGUGGAAUUCCUAGUGUAGCGGUGAAAUGCGUAGAGAUUAGGAGGAACACCGGUGGCGAAAGCGGCUUUUUGGCCUGCAACUGACACUGAGGCGCGAAAGCGUGGGGAGCAAACAGG